rnacentral:rRNA from 1 species
AUGAAGUUAGUAUGCUCACAGACAAGGUUCGGAAAAACCAUGAAACUGUUGUCACCAGACCACAAAAAGUACAUCAUAUCAGAAACCAGUCUUGGCAGUCUAACCCAGAUGCAUGAAGUGACUCUACGGCGCAUAAUGUUGGUUAGACUAGCCAAGAGCAUAGAUAUGGACACCCAAUCCAUUACCAUCGGAAAAAUGCCAAUUCCUAUAACAAAAGAGGACGUGCACUGUAUAUUUGGCAUUCCGAUAGAAGGGGAGGAUAUAGAGCCACAUCUGGAAAUGCAAACCGACACAGAAUUGUUUACCGCCUAUGCAAACAAUGGGAAAAUUUUGAUUUCUGACCUUGAAACGGCGAUCCGACCUUCCAAAGCCCCAGAUGGCGAUUUCCUGAGACGGUUCAUUCUUUACGCAAUUGGUACUGUUCUAGCACCAACAGCACAACAUUAUGUGGACUCGAAAUUUCUCAACCUUGUUACAGAUCUUCAAAACCUUCGGAAAUUUAACUGGGGAUGUUUCACACUUAAUCACUUCUUCAAGUCCGUUCACAAGUUUAGAAAUCGAGAUCACGUAAAUCUACAAGGAAAUCUAAUUCUGCUCCAGUAUUGGUACUGGGAGCACGUGCGUAGUGGCCGAUUGAUGUAUGCUUCUAGACCCCCUCCAUUGAUCGCACGAUGGGACGAAAUGACGGCUACUUUAAGAAGCGAUGCUUACGAGAAAGGAGGUCUUCAUAACGGGCUGAUUGACAUGGUAGUUGAAGCCAUGAAUGCACGCUUAGCUGAUCAUGAAAAGAAGGUAGGCAGGAAGUUAAUGAAAUUGAGCACAGAUUUGAUGUCAAAUACCAAACGCUAG